rnacentral:rRNA from 1 species
GAUGAACGCUGGCGGCGUGCCUAACACAUGCAAGUCGAACGAACCCGAUCUUCGGAAAGGGUUAGUGGCGGAUGGGUGAGUAACACGUAGGUGACCUGCCCUGAUGAGGGGGAUAACUACUGGAAACGGUAGCUAAUACCCCAUGAGAUCCUCGGGUCGUACUGGGGAUGAAAGGUGAGAGCCGCAUCAGGAGGGGCCUGCGGCCCAUCAGGUAGUUGGUGGGGUAACGGCCUACCAAGCCGAUGACGGGUAGCUGGUCUGAGAGGAUGGUCAGCCACACUGGAACUGAAACACGGUCCAGACUCCUACGGGAGGCUG